rnacentral:rRNA from 1 species
UACGAAGGGUGCAAACGUUGCUCGGAAUUAUUGGGCGUAAAGGGCGCGUAGGCGGCCCUGUGUGUCGGGUGUGAAAGCCCACCUCUUAAAGGUGGAAUUGCAUUCGAAACUACAGGGCUGGAGUGUCGGAGAGGAUGGCGGAAUUCCUGGUGUAGAGGUGAAAUUCGUAGAUAUCAGGAGGAACACCGGUGGCGAAGGCGGCCAUCUGGACGACAACUGACGCUGAGGCGCGAAAGCGUGGGGAUCAAACAGG